UUUAUUUUAUAUAGCGGCAAUUAGCAAAGCAGAGGAACAAAUAAAGGACUAGUGUGACAAUUUGUAAACCGGAAAUCACGUGGCUAUAUAUGAUGAAUAAAUACCCAGGGAGAAGGGAAAAAAAUAAAAUGUACUGCUAUCUUGUGUCACUUCAGGUGCAACUCUGAUGUUUCCUUUACCAUUUACCACCUUGGAAUUUUUUUUUUACACAAGUGACAUCCUGGGAUUUCCUCUGAACAUGCCCUGAAUAACAUGUGCAUUAGGACCUGUUACUGCUGAGGCCAGUGAUUGGCUGCUGUGUCCUAUGCAAGGAGUACUGUGACAUCACUGAAGCACUUCAGCAAGGAGCUCCGAGCAGCGUUGGUGCUGGACAAGAAGCAACAGGAGAGGUGAGAAUAGAUCAACAAGAUGCUGCACACAAUACGUUUUGCUAGAAGAUAUUGAGAAGAACUUGUACUUCCUACUCCUUCUGAGCUUCUGGGUCCAGGUUACAACCAAAGACCCCCGUCUACAAGUUGGAUCGCUAUUAGAAUACGAGAUGAAAGACCACAAAGAAUGGUCUCUCUUUCCAGUCAAUUGAGGAAUAGAAAACAGAAUGUGAAGUCAUUAGAGAACACCUCAAGCGACAGAUUUGGACCUCAUUUGUUGCUUGUUGACAGGAUGAAAUGUUCCACUUUUCAGCAAGGGGGGAGCUAUACAAACACAGAUCAAGGAAGAUAAAGCUCAGGCACUUUCACCAUGUUACAAUGAUUCGAUUGGGAGAAUUCCAAGAGUCCUACAGCUGCAGAGCCAUUCUAACAGCCGUAAUUCCAAAUAUAUAUCCCAUAUGCUCCUCUCUGUGCUCUCAGACCACAAUGUGAAAAGGAAUAUAUACCUAAAUCAAUACCUUAUUCUCAGAACAAAGGCAUGACUAGUGCUAGUAAGUAUGACUGUCUGCAUUUCAAGGCCAGGUCAAUCGUGAAGAAUACCUCUAAAUAGAUCCUAGACUCCGGGAAAGGGAAAAUAAUAAAUGAAAACCAGGCACACAGUCCCAUCAUAGGGAAACAUUAACGUUUAUCAUUUAAGUGUGAGUUACAUAUGAUGCAUAUUACAACUAACACACAAGGUUUCUGCCCCUCAAUAACUUACCCCUACCAAAUCACACGUCAUGCUUGUGUUGACGGCAAAUGUUAAAGAGAAUAGUCCACAUGAUGUUCCUUGAUUUCAUUUGGUUCUC